rnacentral:tRNA from 1 species
CUUUUAAAGGAUAAUAGUAAUCCAUUGGUCUUAGGAACCAAAAAUUCUUGGUGCAACCCCAAGUAAAAGU